UGUACGUUGUUUCCAAGCAGAAAUAUAUUUAUGGAAAAUUUUCCAACUUAAGUUAUACGAGUGUGUCGUAAGUGAACACAAUUUCGAAUGGUACGAGUAUCCACUGUCAUUUGGAAAUUGAUCAACUGCCGGAAAAUGUUAUUUUCGAAAGCAAUCAUUAACCGGCAUAAUUGUAGCUCAGGGGAAUCGCCCCUCGGCGGCUGCUGGCACGCCAGAAUCCCGGGAAUAGUAUAACUGACAUCUUUCAGACAAAUAAAAGGGAGAAACGAUGAAGGACUCAGUGGACACCCACUCGCUAUGUUCAAACGAAAAAGAAAAUAAAAGUUCGCUGAUGUGCGAAUAGUAAGUUAAGGUUUUGAGAAUAACACUUGACAAGAGUUUCUCCAAAACGUACAAAUGGAAAAAUUCUUAUUUAGUAUUUAAUAAAAUGUUCAACCAAUUGUUA